rnacentral:lncRNA from 1 species
CGGCGUCUCGCCCCUCGGCCUCGAACUUGCCCGACCACUGGCGCAGCGCGUCAGUGGCAGCGGCCUUGGUCCCCCUGCACGCGUCGUGCGCCCUCUUGCGUUUGUCGUCGUCCUCCUUGUGGCCGUCGUCGUCUCCGCACUUGCGGCUCUUUUUGUUGUCCUUGUCCUCUCUCUUGGUGUCUUUGUUGUUGUCGCGGCGGCGGCGACGGCGGUCGUCAUCGUCGUCGUCGGGCUUGCGGGACUUUUUGGGCUCUGCGCCUUUUUUCGAGCGGCUGCGGCGAUGGUGGGGCGUCGCCUUGGUCGCCGACACGGCAAGCGGCGUCUCCCACGGGAGGCCCAUGCAGAUGCCGUUU